UACGUAGGGGGCUAGCGUUGUUCGGAUUCAUUGGGCGUAAAGGGUGCGUAGGCGGCGCGGUAAGUCGGGUGUGAAAUCUCGGAGCUUAACUCCGAAACUGCAUUCGAUACUGCCGUGCUUGAGGACUGGAGAGGAGACUGGAAUUCCUGGUGUAGCGGUGAAAUGCGCAGAUAUCAGGAAGAACACCAACGGCGAAGGCAGCUCGCUGGGACGGUACUGACGCUGAGACGCGAAAGCGUGGGGAGCGAACAGG
rnacentral:rRNA from 1 species